AGUUUUAAAAACUUAUUUCGAAUACUUUGAAGGGUUAAGAUAUUUUAUUUUUCCCAUUAAAAUAGCGCGUCGUAAAAAAGGGUGACUAAUGGAUAACUUCUCUUCAAAUCUGGAGACAAAGUACACCUUAUAAUCCCUGGUAGGCAGAGUUCCUGGAAUAUGAGCAAACAUGGAAGCUCAUAAUCUUUUUGUGUCAUUAGGUACAGUUGAAGUUGAAAUGCUUUGGAAUGGAACUAUCUAAAGUAUGAUUAAAGAGUUGUUAGUAUUAAAAUUUCCUUGUUUUUAUAACGUGUUUAAAAGCAGUAAGUAUGGUUAUCUGCAGUUGCUCGUAAAGGAAGGAGCAUAGGACAAAAA
rnacentral:lncRNA from 1 species